CCCAUAUUUGUAUUGAAACCGUAAUCGUUGAAUGUAAAGAAAACGUGGUUUCAGUUUCAGUGCCUCUUUAAAUUAAAAAGACUGGAUCCGCGGUCCAGAGCAUCCAAAAUGUUAUCCCUUGCUGGCGUAAGCUUAACAAGAGAAACUAUAGAGCUAGAACCUUCUACUAACUUUUUGAUGGAAAUUAAUGAAGACGGCGGCGGCGUUCUCACAGAGUUCGGAGCUGCACUAAAUGGUGAUGAAUUGCUUAAAAUGGCUGAUGACGCUAUUAAAAACCUACAGGAAAGUUCUGAAAACAUGCAAGUUCCAACAAUGGAUUUUUCUGAGCAACUUACUAACAGUAAUGAUGAAUUUUGUGAGGCUCGUUUAGAAAAUGUUGAGGGGCAAACAACCAAUGAUGAUGACUCAACCUACCCAAGCUAUGAUAUUCUACAAGAAGAAGAACCUGAUUCUUCCGACACUGAAGGCUAUAGUGAAGAAAGUGACGGCGUUGUGUCUAGAGCUGAUGAGGCUGGAGUCCGAGGAAAUGAAGAAAUACUUAAAUGUAGAAGCAGAAAAAAGAAAAACUCCGAAAAACAUAAAAGGCAAUCAGGGAAAGAAUAUUUAGAAAAGCGAAAAAAUGAAGGAAAGUGGGACUACUAGAUAUGGGAGAGAGGUGUACAUGUGAAAACAAAAGUGGCCUAAAUUGCAAAGAUUUAACAGAAGAAGAUAGAGGUCAAGUUUUUGAUCACUUUUGGAAGCUGUCGUGGUCUGAGAAGCAAAUCUUUGUUACUACACUGGUUAACAAAUGUCCAGCUAAAAGAGCUAGAAACCGAAAACAAGAGGAGCAGUCAAGACGAGCGUAUUCAUACUCAUACUUUCUUAAUAAGCAAAGUAUCAGGUUAAAGGUCUUCAAAACGAUAUUUUGCAGUACACUAGGCAUACCAAAAAGAACAGUUGGCUAUUGGCUUCUUGAAAAAAAUAUUGAUAGUGCCAAGGAUAUUGGAGAAUUAAAAUAUUAGAAAUAAACAAACAAAACGAGGGCUUAAUUUCUUUUUUAAAUAGCUUACCGAAGAUGGAGUCGCAUUAUUGUAGAAAGUCUACUAUGAAGCUUUAUUUAGAGCAGGUUUGGACCUCCAAAUUAGGACUUUAUAGGCUGUAUAAAAAUGAAUGGUGUACCACGAACAACUUGUUACCAUUAUCUCUUGCAUCUUUUACAAACAUGAUUGAAGAUCAAAACAUUGCAUUAUUUUCAUCAAAAAAAGAUGAAUGCGACAUAUGUGUAGCCUUUAAGACGGGAAAUAUCAGGCAAGAUAUAUUUGAAGAACAUCAACUCAAAAAAGAAGAAGCACGAAACGAAAAACAAAAAGACAAAGAAGCAGAAAGUUGUUGUAGUGUAUACACAAUGGAUCUGCAAUCUGUAUUAUUAUGUCCGAAGUCCAAUGUAUCCUCUCUAUAUUACAAGACAAAACUGGUUGUCCACAAUUUUACAAUAUUUAAUCUUAAAACCAAGGAUGGUUAUUGCUACAUUUAGCACGAGGGACAAGGAGAACUGACAGCCAACAUUUUUACAUCAAUCUUGUAUAGCUUUGUCAAAAACCAUGUAAUGCCAGAAAAUGAAGCUUUAACCAAAUUUUUUUUUUUAUAGUGAUGGUUGCACCUGUCAGAACAGGAAUGCAUUGCUCUCAAACGCCCUUUUAAACUUAUUACAAGAAUGUAAAACAACAAUUGAGCAGAAGUACCUUCAAAAGGGGCACACGCAAAUGGAAUGCGAUGCCAUGCACUCAAGUAUUGAAAGGAAGCUGAAAAAGAAAAUUAUAAAUAUCCCUGCUGAUUACGUAGUUCUUAAUUCUAUAAGACCAGGAAGGACUACAGGUGAUGCAGCUGUCACUGACAUAAAAGCUUUGAGAUAUAGCCCAGACGGUUCCAUCUGGUUUAAAAUUCGCCACUCAGAAGAAUGGAAACCUUUGCCAUGUCGCUUGAAUAAAAAUAAAACUGUUGCAUCGUAUGACGCCCUUCCCCAACUUUUCGAUGCACCUAUACCAAUUCAAAAGCAAAAAUUUAUUUAAAACUGUCUUUAAAUAAAGAUAAGUUUUUGGGCUCUCCUGAAAAAGUGUUAUUUUGUGAGUUAGGCAAUUUGCAUCUUAGGACGACGAUAUGCAGUUUAAAAGAGAGCUACUUAUCCAAUAAAAUUCCUAAAAAUGUUGUUUCAAUUUCAUUACUCGAUACUUGUUUUUUUUAAGAAAACUGUAAGCUUAUUGUUUUGUUUAAGAGAUAAAUAAUUUGAGUCAAACCAAUUUUUCACAUGUAUGCUUCGUUGUGAGUUUGUAGUAAAACUUUAUGUGAGUUAUAAUGUCUUGCCAUCUGCAGAAUCUAGACAGAAUCGAAAAUCUUUUCAAUAAAUCAGGAAUAAAAUUGGUCCAGGUAUGGACCCUUGUGGCACCCCUGAUAGUACCGUUUUUGUUGUUGACUGUCUCUCAUCCAUUUAUUUCUGAAUUAUAAGAAUAUUCCUUAAGUUCUUACGUGGAAAAUUUUGACCUAGUGGUUUUUAAACAUUGGUCGACAAAAUUGUCUGUAACUCUGGGAGUUUUUAACCCUUAAAAAUUUUUCUCAUAUAAAACUGUUGCCGUUUGAGGAUAUUUCAAUUAUUUCCUAAAAUAUCCCCAUGAAAGUGAAGAUUUGAUAAGAAAAUUACCAAAAAAAAAAAAGCCCCAACCAAACUAACCAAUUUCUUGACCCAGAAUGACAUUUUUAGUGUUGAAUGCAAAAAAUCUAAAUAAAACAACCGUUGUUGCUUAAAAAUACAUUUUUAAUUUUAUUACCGAUAAUAACUUACAAAAAAAAAAAGAGACAAAUGCGCUAACACUACCGGUGUGAAGCAAUUUAGAACUAAAUUAGCCACAUUCUUAAUUAUGUAACAACUAAAAAUCGUUCACCAACAAAUUAACGUCAAGAGUAUUCUAAAUAGAGGGCGACAACAAAACAAAACAAACAAAAAUCUAAAUAAAUGAAAAUAUAAA
rnacentral:lncRNA from 1 species